GACGAACGCUGGCGGCGUGCUUAACACAUGCAAGUCGAACGGUGAAGCGCUUGCCUUUUUGGUGGGUGUGGAUGAGUGGCGAACGGGUGAGUAACACGUGAGUAACCUGCCCUCUUCUUCUGGAUAACCUCAUGAAAGUGGGGCUAAUACGGGGUAUUCCGGGUCUGUCGCAUGGCGGGUUUGGGAAAGAUUGCGCCUUUGGGUGUUUUCGGUGGGGGAUGGGCUCGCGGCUUAUCAGCUUGUUGGUGGGGUGAUGGCCUACCAAGGCGGUGACGGGUAGCCGGCCUGAGAGGGUGGACGGCCACACUGGGACUGAGACACGGCCCAGACUCCUGCGGGAGGCAGCAGUGGGGAAUAUUGCACAAUGGGCGCAAGCCUGAUGCAGCGACGCCGCGUGAGGGAUGGAGGCCUUCGGGUUGUGAACCUCUUUCGCCAGUGAAGCAGGCCUGCUCCUGUGUGGGUGGGUUGACGGUAGCUGGAUAAGAAGCGCCGGCUAACUACGUG
rnacentral:rRNA from 1 species